UACGGGAGGCAGCAGGGGGGAAUAUUGCACAAUGGGCGAAAGCCUGAUGCAGCUAUGCCGCGUGUAUGAAGAAGGCCUUAGGGUUGUAAAGUACUUUCAUCGGGGAGGAAAAAACAAAACUAAUAAUUUUAUUUCUUGACGUUACCCGAAAAAGAAGCACCGGCUAACUCCGUGCCAGCAGCCGCGGUAAUACGGAGGGUGCUAGCGUUAAUCAGAAUUACUGGGCGUAAAGAGCACGUAGGUGGUUUUUUUAAGUCAGAUGUGAAAUCCCUGGGCUUAACCUAGGAACUGCAUUUUGAAACUGAAAUACUAGAGUAUCGUAGAGGGAGGUAGAAUUCUAGGUGUAGCGGUGAAAUGCGUAGAUAUCUGGAGGAAUACCUGUGGCGAAAGCGGCCUCCUAAACGAAUACUGACACUGAGGGUGCGAAAGCGUGGGGAGCAAACAGGGAUUAGAUACC
rnacentral:rRNA from 1 species